CACCCGAACCAAGCAGGGGUCCUCUCGUCAGCUCCAAAGAGGAUUCAAACAUCCCCAAAUCCCGAAAAUAGAGUCAAGGGCCCCCAAGGAUAAUUUGCCAUUAUGCAUGCCAAAAAAAUAAUGUCGAGCAUUAUGUUCUUUAGGCUACUUUGCAGCACUUUGGUCAAGUCUGAUUAGUAUUGAAUACCGACUAAUCCCGUAGGGGAAAGAUUGCUUUUUGAGAUCGCGAAUUCCGGGAGGAGAGGUCCAGCUUUGACGUGAGAUGUUCGUUUUGCUGUGGGGUAAAGGCGGCACGUAUCAAGUAGCGCGGG
rnacentral:sRNA from 2 species